rnacentral:ribozyme from 2 species
UCGAUAACUCUGCCCGUAGCCUUACCAGGGUUACAGUCGGUCCCGAGCCCGGGUAAAUGAGGAGGGUUGG